UUGCUGGCGAUACAACAGUAACUGGACCGUCAGCAGAGCAGACAGCAGGACUCACAGCCAGCAGCAUUUUUCAUGAUGACCUGGGUCCUCCGCAGUGUAAGAGCAUUAGUUUGGAGCGAGGGCCUGACGGACUGGGCUUCAGUAUCGUGGGUGGAUUCGGCAGCCCUCACGGUGACCUUCCCAUCUACGUCAAAACCGUUUUCAGCAAGGGGGCCGCGGCAGAGGACGGGCGUCUGAAGCGCGGAGAUCAAGUCAUCGCCGUUAACGACCAGAGUCUGGAGGGAGUCACUCAUGAGGAGGCCGUCUGUAUUCUGAAGAAAACCAAAGGAACUGUCACACUCACUGUGCUGUCAUGAACACACACAGGUCCUGUAGUUGUUUAGACACUGGAUGACACACUGUGGAUGAUAGAGCUGUUUACUGCUAGUUUGUGGAGAAACCAGCAGACUACUACAAUCUGCCGUACUACGCUGAGACUGUAGAAACUCAGCUCUACUGCAAUCCACACACAUGCAUUUGUGCUUUAAAAUGCUGAAAUGCUCAUGGCUACAUGGCACAUCUGGUUAUGACAUAUUUUUCCAUCUUUUGAUAAA